UCCACUUGUUUUCAUUAAAGCUCCUGAUCAAAUCUCAACUCAAGAUGGGAAAAACUACUUUGUUCGUCUUCAUGUUGGUUCUCGUUCUCUUUGCUUCCGAAGAGAGUACUGUGACAGAAGCGAAGAUGUGUGAACAUAAGGGGCGUGCUAUGAGUUGUGCUUUUGAUAGAGACUGUAGCCACUCUUGUGAAAAAGACGGUUUUAUUGAUGGACAUUGUGAUGGUGUAAGACGUAAAUGUGUUUGCCGGAAAGCCUGUUAAUUACUAUCUGCGUUUAUUUAGUCUUCACAUUUGUGCGACUAAAUUGUGUUUCCAAUAAUAUAAUAAUGAAUAAACCUUGUUACAGAAUUGUGUAAUGAAUAAACCUUGUAAUGUAUGUCCAA